UGGGAGGGACCGAGUGAGCUGCGCGCUGAGCUCCCGCUCUGCUGCGUGUUCCGGGCUCAGAAUGCCUUCUACUCCCGUGACUUUAGUACCCUUAGAAUGAGUUCGUGGCUUUAGCAAUUCCUGUGUUUCUAGCUCUCUGGAAGGCAUAUUCCAGGACAGGAAGACAAGUAAUUGAGUUUCUAUUCGGAAAUGAGGGGCUCCUCUCUGAGCAGCUAUUUUUCCACAGCAGGGAAUGAAAACUUGAUCUGGCUAAAGCUCCAGAUUAUGUCCAAAUGACUUGGUAGAGAAGAAAAAUUCUUCAGUCUUCUAUCUUUCAACAAAUUCUGCUCAAGACACAGUGAAAAAUGGCCAUCUAGGAAAUGAGUUCUCGCCAACACACCAAAUCUACCAGCACCAUGCUCUUGGACUUCACAGCCUCCUGAACUACAAGCCAUCCAGUUAAUGAUACUUCUGUUAUAGCAAAGUCAGUUGGGAUUUUUCUUACGGACUGGAUUAAUGGUGAGACACCACCACUCUUACACAUGAGGAGACUCAAGAGAACAAGAUCUAGCAUAAGAGUGGAGACUGCAGGUUUACAGAAAAGGCAUAGAAAACCUUAGGACACCAGUAGAUAGAGACAUCAAUAUUUUUAAAUUUUUUUAUUGUUUUAUUAUUUAUUUUUGAGAGAGAGAGACUAAAUGCGAGUGGUAGAGGGGCAGAGAGAGAGAGACAGAG